AGUGGCGAACGGGUGAGUAAUACAUCGGAACGUGCCCGAUCGUGGGGGAUAACGAGCGAAAGCUUUGCUAAUACCGAUACGAUCUACGGAUGAACGCGGGGGAUCUUCGGACCCCGCGCGGACGGAGCGGCCGAUGGCAGAUUAGGUAGUUGGUGGGAUAAAAGCUUACCAAGCCGACGAUCUGUAGCUGGUCUGAGAGGAUGAUCAGCCACACUGGGACUGAGACACGGCCCAGACUCCUACGGGAGGCAGCAGUGGGGAAUUUUGGACAAUGGGCGAAAGCCUGAUCCAGCCAUGCCGCGUGCAGGAUGAAGGCCUUCGGGUUGUAAACUGCUUUUGUACGGAACGAAAAGCCUCUUUCUAAUAAAGAGGGGUCAUGACGGUACCGUAAGAAUAAGCACCGGCUAACUACGUGCCAGCAGCCGCGGUAAUACGUAGGGUGCAAGCGUUAAUCGGAAUUACUGGGCGUAAAGCGUGCGCAGGCGGUUUUGUAAGACAGAGGUGAAAUCCCCGGGCUCAACCUGGGAACUGCCUUUGUGACUGCAAGGCUGGAGUGCGGCAGAGGGGGAUGGAAUUCCGCGUGUAGCAAUGAAAUGCGUAGAUAUGCGGAGGAACACCGAUGGCGAAGGCAAUCCCCUGGGCCUGCACU
rnacentral:rRNA from 1 species